GGCGGCACGCCUAACACAUGCAAGUCGAACGAAGUAGCAAUACUUAGUGGCAGACGGGUGAGUAACAUGUAGGUAUCUACCCUUUGGCCUGGAAUAACACGAGGAAACUUGUGCUAAUACCGGAUAAGUCUUUACAGAGAAAGCUUUAUGCACCAUUGGAUGAGCCUGCACUUGAUUAGUUUGUUGGUGGGGUAAUGGCCUACCAAGACUGUGAUCAAUAGCUGAUUUGAGAGGAUGAUCAGCCACAUUGGGACUGAGACACGGCCCAAACUCCUACGGGAGGCAGCAGUGGGGAAUCUUGCAC
rnacentral:rRNA from 1 species